AGAGUUUGAUCAUGGCUCAGAACGAACGCUGGCGGCGUGGAUUAGGCAUGCAAGUCGAACGGUCCCGCAAGCAUUUUCUGCGGGAUAGUGGCGAAAGGGUGAGUAACACGUGGGUAAUCUACCCAAAGAACUGGGAUAACUUGUCGAAAGACGGGCUAAUACCGGAUGAGACCACGACUUCUUUGGAAGUUGAGGUCAAAGAUGGGGAUUCGCUUCGGCGGACCUGUCGUCUUUGGAGGAGCCCGCGGACUAUCAGCUAGUUGGUGAGGUAAUGGCUCACCAAGGCUGUGACGGAUAGCUGGCCUGAGAGGGUGGUCAGCCACAUCGGGACUGAGACACUGCCCGGACUCCUACGGGAGGCUGCAGUCGAGAAUCUUUCGCAAUGGGGGCAACCCUGACGAAGCGACGCCGCGUGCAGGAUGAAGGCCUUCGGGUCGUAAACUGCUGUCACUUGGGACGAAACAUGUCGGUGCGAAUAUCUCCGAUAUCUGACGGUACCAAGAGAGGAAGCCACGGCUAACUCUGUGCCAGCAGCCGCGGUAAUACAGAGGUGGCUAGCGUUGUUCGGAUUCAUUGGGUGUAAAGGGUGCGUAGGCGGUUUGGAAAGUCAAGUGUGAAAGCCCACAGCUCAACUGUGGAAAUGCAUUUGAAACUUCUAGACUAGAGUGUGAGAGAGGUGAAGGGAAUUCCCGGUGUAAGGGUGAAAUCUGCAGAGAUCGGGAGGAACACCAGUAGCGAAGGCGCUUCACUGGCUCGCAACUGACGCUGAGUGCACGAAGGCGUGGGGAGCAAACGGGAUUAGAUACCCCGGUAGUCCACGCAGUAAACGAU
rnacentral:rRNA from 1 species